GAGUCUGUGUGAGGUGGUCUUGGUGCUGGUGAUUGAAGAGCGUAAACCGGGAGUACUGUGCGAGGUGCUCUCAGUGGUGGGGAUUGAAGAGGUGAAAUUCGGUAGUCUGUGUGAAGUGGGUCUCAGUUGCUGGUGAUUGAAGAGGUGAAGCUGGGAGUACUGUGUGAGAUGGUCUUGGUGGUGGGGAUUGAAGAGGUGAAGCUGGGAGUACUGUGCGAGGUGGUCUCAGUGGUGGGGAUUGAAGAGGUGAAACUGGGAGUACUGUGUGAAGUGGUCUCAGUGCUGGUGAUUGAAGAGGUGAAACUGGGAGUGCUGUGUGAGAUGGUCUCGGUGGUGGGGAUUGAAGAAGUGACGCUGGAAGUACUGUGUGAGAUCGUCUCAGUGCUGGUGAUUGAAGAGGUGAAGCUGGGAAUACUGUGUGAGGUGGUCUCUGUGGUCUCUGUGGUCUCAGUGGUGGGGAUUGAAGAGGUGACACUGGGAGUACUGUGUGAGGUAGUCUCAGUGCUGGUGAUUGAAGAGGUGAAAUUGGGAGUACUGUGUGAGGUGGUCUCUGUGGUGAAGACUGAAGAAGUGAAGCUGGGAGUACUGUGUGAGGUGAUCUCAGUGCUGAUGACUGAAGAGGUGAAAUUGGGAGUACUGGGUGAAGUGGUCUUGGUGGUGGGGAUUGAAGAGGUGAAACUGGGACUACUGGGUGAUGUGGUCUCAGUGCUGGUGAUUGAAGAAGUAAAGCUAGAAGUACUGUGGGAUGUGAUCUCAGUGGUGGUGGUGAACAAGUUUGUUGUAGGAGUCGUGGCUGUUUCUGUGGUCCGGAGAAAGGAAGAGGUGGGUGGGAGAGUAAUGGUGGUGGACAAUAUACCUGUUGUAGUUGUGGAAAAGGUGAUUUUGGUCGUGGAGUCUGGGACAGUGCUAGUGGGAAAAGUAGGGUGGGUGGUCUCAGAUGUAGGUCUGUCUCUUAUACACAUCUAG
rnacentral:lncRNA from 1 species